GGUCAAUGUAACGAGUGUGAUGGUGCGGGCCUCGUACAGCACAGAAGCCAGCGCCGUUUACAGACUCCACUCAUUCUUAAUGCAGGCAGCCGAUCCUAACGCCAAAGGAGAGAGAGCGCCGGCUGUAGAAAUGUGUACUUGUCCUCCUGGAUACGCUGGAUUAUCCUGUGAGGUUUGCAUCGCAGGUUACCGGAGGG